rnacentral:rRNA from 1 species
CCAAGCUACGAAGAGCCAAUGGUGAAUGCCUUGGCGCCGAACACCGAUGAAGGACGUGAUAGGCUGCGAUAAGCCACGGGGAGCCGCCGAAUAGGCUUUGAUCCGUGGAUAUCCGAAUGGGGAAACCCGGCACCUUUUAUCGGGUGUCACUCCUGCCUGAAUCUAUAGGGCAGGUAGAGGGAACGAGGGGAAUUGAAACAUCUCAGUACCCUGAGGAAAAGAAAGCAACAGCGAUUCCCGGAGUAGCGGCGAGCGAAAUGGGAAGAGCCUAAACCGAAUCCGGUGGUAAAGCCUGGUGGCGUUGCCGGAUCGGUGUUGCGGGACAUCCCCGACCGAGCACCAGAUCGGUCAAGGAGUUACAAAGCAGGCAGAUAGCGGAACCGUACAGGAAAGGCGGGCCGCAGAGGGUGACAGCCCCGUACGCGAAAUCUGCUUGCCUCCUGGGAUUGCUCCCGAGUAGCGCCGGUUCCGUGAAGGCCGGCGUGAAUCUGCGAGGACCACCUCGUAAGGCUAAAUAUGUGUCGGCGACCGAUAGCGAACUAGUACCGUGAGGGAAAGGUGAAAAGUACCCCGGGAGGGGAGUGAAAUAGUACCUGCAACCAUUGGUUUACAAGCAGUUGAAGCGCUACUGGGCACUUGUGUCCAAGCGCGACAGCGUGCCUUUUGAAGAAUGAGCCAGCGAGUUACGGUGUGUGGCAAGGUUAACCAGUGAUGGGAAGCCGGAGCGAAAGCGAGUCCGAAUAGGGCGCACAGUCGCAUGCUGUAGACCCGAAGCCGUGUGAUCUAUCCAUGGGCAGGGUGAAGCGGAGGUAAGACUCCGUGGAGGCCCGAACCGACCUAGGUUGAAAACUGGGCGGAUGACCUGUGGAUAGGGGUGAAAGGC